UAUGAAUCUAGGCAGAGAUGGCAUCUGUUUUUCUUCCAAAUAAUCGAAGAGAUGACUCAAAAUUGAGAUCCAUCCCACCAAUCCAGGCAAGAGUUUUGGAAAUUUAUCUUGGUAGCUUCCUUCACAAUCACCACACUUCUCUUAAUUAUCCCAUUUUAAUACAUAGAUGGCAACCCAGUCCCCACUGUCUUCUUCAAAGGCCUCCCAACAACAUUCCAAGCUUUUGUUGUGUGCCUCGUCUUCUCUUAAUAAUCCCAUUUGAAUACAUAGAUGGCAACCCAGUUCCAACUGUCAUAUCCUUUUCUGGUUCGUUGAGUGCGUUGCUAAUCCGUGACAAGUCCUUGCUUCCUAAGUUCUGUGGGUACUCUUCCAUGGCUUCCAUGACAUCUGCUGUCUCUCUCUUGCAAAUCGAAGAGAUGACUCAAAAUUGAGCUCCAUCCCACCAAUCCAGGCAAGAGUUUUGGAAAUUUAUCUCGGUAGCUUCCUUCACAAUCACCACACUUCUCUUAAUUAUCCCAUUUUAAUACAUAGAUGGCAACCCAGUCCCCACUGUCUUCUUCAAAGGCCUCCCAACAACAUUCCAAGCUUUUGUUGUGUGCCUCGUCUUCUCUUAAUAAUCCCAUUUGAAUACAUAGAUGGCAACCCAGUUCCAACUGUCAUAUCCUUUUCUGGUUCGUUGAGUGCGUUGCUAAUCCGUGACACGUCCUUGCUUGCUAAGUUCUGAAUACAGGGUGCUGUGUUCCAUCAUGGAGAUCAAUAUCAAGCUUUUAUUUCGACCAUGUUUGGGCAGGUAUGGAUGUCCCAGUCUGUAUGAAAAACUAAGUCUCUGUUAAUUUACUGUCUGUGUUUGUUGUGUUUUUGUUAAGUUUAGAAAUAAACCAUUGUUUUUAUGCAGACUGGGACAUCCAUAUCCCAAACAUGGUGUAAAGCAAGAAAGAGAGAGAGAGAGAGAGAGAGAGAGAGAGAGCAGAUGCCAUGGAAGUCAUGGAAUAAUACUCACAGAACCUAGCAAGCAAGGACGUGUCACGGAUUAGCAACGCACUCAACGAACCAGAAAAGGAGAAGACGAGGCACACAACAAAAUCUUGGAAUGCUGUUGGGAGACCUUUGAAGAAGGCAGUGGGGACUGGGUUACCAUCUCUGUAUUCAAAAUGGGAUUAUUAAGAGAAAUGUGGUGAUUGUGAAGGAAGCUACCAAGAUAAAUUUCCAAAAGUCAUGUCUGGAUUGACAUCUCUGCCUAGAUCCUUUACGAGUCAGGAUCAUCUGCCGUACUUUCCUGCCGUGGUUCAAAACGACCCCAUUUUGGACCUUUUUUUUAUUUUUUAUUUUAUUUUCUUAUUUUGCUUUUCAGCCUCAUUACAGCGCUCUCUCUCUCUCUCUCUCUUCUCUAUGUCUCUGUCUUCUCUGUCUCUACGAGCUCAAGGCAAAAGAACGCCAUGUCCAGCCCAUGAGAAGGACGAGAAAGAGAACUCAACAACACUCAUCAAAGUCGAAUCAUAUUCUUCAGUUUAUGAGAAAUUGGAAGCUCUAAAAAGCCUCAUACCCACCCACGACCAAGAGAGAAAGGCCGACCAGCUCUUCCAAGAAACCACCGACUACAUUGUUCUUCUCAAACUCGUCGAUUUCUAUGGCUCUAAUCAAACCCAGAAUUCCUUAUAGUGAUUUUCCCAUUUUCAUCAAUCAAGAAGAACAUAUAUGUAAUAUAUAUAUAGAGAUGGUUGAUCGAGAGAUCGGUUGAUCGAUUUCUUUAUUUUCUAUUUUAGCUUUUGUAUUACAUUGUAUGACUACCUCUUUGAACUUCUAAAUAGUAGAAUUUCCCUCA